UGGGCACUCUAAGGAGACUCCCGGUGACAAACCGGAGCAAGGUGGGGAUGAGGUCAAGUCAUCAUGGCCCUUACGACCUGGGCUACACACGUGCUACAAUGGUGGGUACAAAGAGUAGCCACCCCGCGAGGUGAAGCUAAUCUCAUAAAACCGAUCGUAGUCCGGAUUGCAGUCUGCAACUUGACUGCAUGAAGUCGGAAUCGCUAGUAAUCGUGAAUCAGAAUGUCGCGGUGAAUACGUUCCCGGGCCUUGUACACACCGCCCGUCACACCAUGGGAGUUGGUUGCUACCAGAAGUAGGGUAGUCGUAACCCAUGGAGGCCGGCUACCUACG
rnacentral:rRNA from 1 species